UACGUAGGGCGCAAGCGUUGUCCGGAAUUAUUGGGCGUAAAGAGCUCGUAGGCGGCUUGUCGCGUCGGUUGUGAAAGCCCGGGGCUUAACUCCGGGUCUGCAGUCGAUACGGGCAGGCUAGAGUUCGGUAGGGGAGGUCGGAAUUCCAGGUGUAGCGGUGAAAUGCGUAGAUAUCUGGAGGAACACCGGUGGCGAAGGCGGCAUCCUGGACCGAUAUUGACGCUGAUGCGCGAAAGCCAGGGGAGCAAACGGG
rnacentral:rRNA from 1 species